CUGAAUCCUGGAAGAGGUUCAUGUAGGAGUAUCCUUUGGUUUCAAAUUGGCUAGAAAUACAAGUGACAAGAAAAGACAAAAACAGAAAGCAUAAAGAUAUAGGAAUGUCAAGGAGGGAAGCAGUCUAAGGCAGGAUUUGAAUAGGGAAUGGAGGACCAGAGAGACCCAGAGAAUCCUCUCUCUGUCUCUCCACUUCAGUGUUUACAGUGAAAGAUAAAUCCAGAACUAAGGUCACACAUUUCACUCUCCUAUGCUUUGGACAUAGCACUGGCUGGUUGGUUUGGCUCAUAUCUGUAGGGCCAGCCAUAUGUUGGCAGAGUCAAGGUUAUGAACAUAAGGUCAUCUGUGGCACAUCUUGUGCCAAUGUAAUGAGGUGUGAUCUAUUCAAAUGUUGCAAAAAGCAGUUUUAUCUCUACUGAUGAAAAGUAAAAACCCCAGAGGGGUAGGAAUUGAUAGCCACCCAAUCCCAAGCAUCCAAAAUUAUUCUGUAGAAUGUCUCGACAGACUUUGGGGUUGGCAUGUCCUUGGUAGUCCUCCUUGAGAAGAAUCGAGCCACACUGCUCUAAUCCAGGAGAAGCUGACCUGGACUUGUCAGUUCCUUAGAGCUCUGGUUAGACCAGAACAGAAUUGUGAUGACCUAGAAUUCUAGGUCCAUUCAAACCAGGAACAAUCUCCGAGAGGGUGCCUAAACUACAGGUUUACCUUCUAACCACCAAGAAUUGUUAAGACUCCCCAAACUUUCUAAAGAAAAUUCAGUUUGUUACAGAUUCAUGAGUUGAAGAUGGGGCCCAAGUCUCAGUCUGUUAUCCAGCCUCUAAUAAGACCUCUUGAGCAUGAAACCCACCCAGAUACAGCCUCCCAAGAUCAAGACUUCCAAACUCAGAAACACCUGGGGAGCAUCCUUCUUAAUUGAGUAUUUGGACAUAUCGAGCAACCAAAAGUACAGGAGUAUAUUGCCAUGCCUAAGAGUAUAGAAGCAAGUUGGACCAAUUUUCCUGAUGCCAGAUGGCUCAGCAGACUUUUCAGAUGUUGCUACUCUGUUGUACAUCCCAGCUUCAGUUGCUCCACACCCCAAAAGUACAUCGAGCUAGGUCAUUAUUUCACGGGUUCCUCAGACAAAACUUCUUCCAUGAAGAAGGAGUUUGACCCUUCCCCAGACUGAGAAGAGGGAGUG